rnacentral:rRNA from 1 species
AGAGCGAACGCUGGCGGCAGGCCUAACACAUGCAAGUCGAGCGCCCGUAGCAAUACGGGAGCGGCAGACGGGAUAGUAACACGUGGGAACGCGCCCUUCGGUUCGGAAUAACUCAGGGAAACUUGAGCUAAUACCGAAUACGCCCUUACGGGGAAAGAUUUAUUGCCGAAGGAACGGCCCGCGUCCGAUUAGCUAGUUGGUGAGGUAAUGGCUCACCAAGGCUACGAUCGGUAGCUGGUCUGAGAGGAUGACCAGCAUCACUGGGACUGAGACACGGCCCAGACUCCUACGGGAGGCAGCAGUGGGGAAUAUUGGACAAUGGGCGCAAGCCUGAUCCAGCCGUGCCGCGUGGAUGAUGAAGGCCUUAGGGUUGUAAAGUCCUUUUAACGGGGAAGAUAAUGACGGUACCGUAGAAUAAGCCCCGGCUAACUUCGUGCCAGCAGCCGC